rnacentral:rRNA from 1 species
UGGGGAAUAUUGCACAAUGGGGGAAACCCUGAUGCAGCGACGCCGCGUGAACGAAGAAGGUAUUCGUAUCGUAAAGUUCUGUCCUAUGGGAAGAUAAUGACAGUACCAUAGAAGAAAGCUCCGGCUAAAUACGUGCCAGCAGCCGCGGUAAUACGUAUGGAGCGAGCGUUGUCCGGAAUUAUUGGGCGUAAAGGGUACGCAGGCGGUUUAAUAAGUCGUAUGUUAAAGAUCGGGGCUCAACCCCGUAAAGCAUUGGAAACUGAUAAACUUGAGUAGUGGAGAGGAAAGUGGAAUUCCUAGUGUAGUGGUGAAAUACGUAGAUAUUAGGAGGAAUACCAGUAGCGAAGGCGACUUUCUGGACACAAACUGACGCUGAGGUACGAAAGCGUGGGGAGCAAACAGG